AGUGGAAGCACUGGAAGUGGAAUUCACGUGAGCGGGAAAUUUCAAUCAAAACAACAACACACAUAUUUGGAGUGAAAUAUUUUCAUAUUUGUAACCAAUUCUACUCUCUAGAGGUCAACUCGAGUUUCUCUUGUGAUUUUCUUUACGAAACGUAUUUGACGGAGAACACUAGAGACAUUUCCGUCAGAAAACAUGAGCGGAAUAAGAUUCGUGGAUGCGUUAAAAAGGAUAAGUUAUCACGGUAAUUUGUCUGCAGAAAGUUUUGACUGGAUGUUUGAAAAUGAAGAUACUUUGCCUUUUCUGGAGUGGUUUUGUGACAGUUUACAUGGACAAAACGUCGUCACAGAUGAAGAAUUAAAAGG
rnacentral:lncRNA from 1 species